rnacentral:tRNA from 1 species
UAUUGGAAAAAUCCUGUCUGUUUUUGCUU